rnacentral:rRNA from 1 species
CGUAGGGUGCGAGCGUUAAUCGGAAUUACUGGGCGUAAAGCGUGCGCAGGCGGUUUUGUAAGCCAGAUGUGAAUCCCCGGGCUCAACCUGGGAAUGGCAUUUGGGACUGCAAGGCUUGAGUGCGGCAGAGGAGACUGGAAUUCCUGGUGUAGCAGUGAAAUGCGUAGAUAUCAGGAGGAAUACCGAUGGCGAAGGCAGGUCUCUGGGCUGACACUGACGCUCAUGCACGAAAGCGUGGGGAGCAAACAGGAUUAGAUACCCUGGUAGUCCACGCCCUAAACGAUGUCGACUGGUUGUUGGGGGUUUGACACUCUCAGUAACGAAGCUAACGCGUGAAGUCGACCGCCUGGGGAGUACGGCCGCAAGGUUA